rnacentral:rRNA from 1 species
CAGUCGCCACGGGAAUACGGAGGGUGCGAGCGUUAAUCGGAAUUACUGGGCGUAAAGCGUACGCAGGCGGUUUGUUAAGUCAGAUGUGAAAUCCCCGAGCUUAACUCGGGAACUGCAUUUGAAACUAGCAGGCUAGAGUCUCGUAGAGGGGGGUAGAAUUCCAGGUGUAGCGGUGAAAUGCGUAGAGAUCUGGAGGAAUACCGGUGGCGAAGGCGGCCCCCUGGACGAAGACUGACGCUCAGGUACGAAAGCGUGGGGAGCAAACAGGAUUAGAUACCCGCGUAGUCCCUGUCUCUUAUAC